GGGAUCUUCCCCACCCAGGGAUUGGGUUCUUUACCACUAGUGCCACCUGGGAAGCCCACAGAAUACACAUAUACUCUUUAUCCAGAUUCAAUAUAUUUUAACGUUUUGCUUUAUCAUUUAUGUUCUCUCUCCUUCUUUCUCUUUUUCCUGAACCUUUUUAGGUCAGUUACCAACACGGUGGCCCUUUCUCUCUGGAUACUUCAUGUGUGGAUUCCUAAGAAUAAGGAUACAGUUUUAUAAUUUCUGCAGUAUGUUGAACUUUAAUAUGACACUUUAUCUAAUCUGCUGAUUUUAUUGCAGAUUUGUUGAUUAACUUAAUAGCAUCCUUUACAGCAUUUUCCCCCAGUCAGGAUCCAACAUGGCAUUUGCUGUGUCUCUUUAGUCUCUUUUCAUCCAGAACAGUUCCUCAGUUUUUCUUUGUCUUUCAUGACAUUGACAUGUUCAAAGAAGACAGCAUCCUUUUCACCUUAAAAAAAAAAAAAAUGGAAUGUUCUUCCCUUUGGAGUGGUCUGCUGUUCGGUCAUGUUUAGACUCCAAGUUAGACAUUCCUGGCUAGCAUACACAGGAGUGAUGUUGUGUCUUUUUCAGUAUGUUACAUCCAGAGGCACCAAAUGUCCUGUCACUUUAUGUGAUGUUAUGUUUGAUCACUUGGCCAAGGUGUCCCAUUUCUUCACUGUGUGUUUACUAAUUUUUCCUCACUACUAAUAAGCAGUCUGUGGGGAGACAAGACCAUAUGCAUGUCUUACUCCGCAUCUACAUUUUGCCCCAAGACUUAGCAAUCAUCCACACUGGGUUUGCAGGUAUUUCUGGAUCCCACCCAAGGGAUGGGAGGUUGAGCUGUCCGGGACCAGGUGACCUAUUUAUAAGGGCCUCGCCCACGUGGGAGGGCCUGGCUGUGCCACCCAGCCCUGUUGAGUAACCGCAUCUCCAUGAUAAUUUCCCUCUUCCUACCCCCAACAGAAACAGAAGCUCAUUUGUCAUUCACUCAACUGACAAAUAAGAAUGUUCUUGCGAAAGCUUCACAGCUUUAUUUGGGCACGGUAGGGUAUAAAAAGAAAGCUCAUUCCUUCGAUGCCUUUAAGAAGCCUACCAUUGAGUUGGGGAGACAAGACUUGGUCACUGAAAGGUAAAGGACAUGUAAGUCUUUAGUACUAUGACCCCACAGGACAACUCAACAAGAGUUAUCCUGUGACCCUGGAGAAUUAGAGGCUCUUAGGAAUUUGGGGGGAGAGGGAUCAAAGUGGUUUAGGUAAGAUUGAUGCAGGGACCUUUCGUUAACAAGGGUCAUCUCUGAGUGGGCAUUGAAGGACAGGUAAAUCUGGAUAAACAGAAAUAAGGGCACUCCAGAAGGGGAAUGGUGUGCACAAAGGCCCAGAGAUGAGAGUAUGGAUGAAGUGACUGGGGGAUGGCGAGUUAUGUACCAGCCUGCAUGGGGCCAAGGGUUGCUGUAGGUGGCAGGAUCUAUCCCUUACUGAACACCUACCUCAUACCAGGCAUUAAAAAAAAAAAAAACUUUUCUGAUUCUACAAGUGAUACAUGUGUGGUGUAAGACGUUUAGAAAAAUAGAGCUAUACAAAGAAAAAUUUUAAUGAAGUCACUCUGUUCUUUCAUCCAGAGAUAACUAGUUAACCAUGGUGUGGUUCCUUCAUUUCUGAGAUCUUUGACAUUCUUCUGGCAGUGGCUCAUUUGGGUUCAUGGAUUCAGGAGCCCUUCUUGUCUCUCAGAGGAUAUUAAUCAUACUUUGACAAACGUUUCAUUCUGUUGACUUUACUAAUUUUGUUUUCUAGCUAGAACUUGUGUUCUCUAAUUUGGUGCUUCUUUGGCUGUCUUGGUUUUUGUCAAAUGUUUGGUGAGUCUUGGUUGUGUUUCUCUCUCUGUAUUUUGAGGUUUUUUGGUCACCUCUGCAUGAAUCCCGAUUACAUGCUCUCAAGCCAGCCACCCCUGUUUGGGGGCAGGAGGGUAGGAUGCGGCCUGCUGGGGAUGCAGGAGCUGUCUAGGUGUCCCUUUGCCUCAAUGCCCUAAUGUCCCUGGUGGAGGGACACCUGGGUGGAGACAUGGGCCAGGGGCUGCUUGCCUGGCUGCUCCAGAUCCCAUGACCAACCACUCAGGGCCUCUCCUGGACCCCUAAUCUGCUUGCUCCAAACUUGGAGUCCCCAGAGCCAUUCCCCCAAAUGUAGAAUCCUUAGCCGCACUGCUGGGGUUCAAAUCCUAGCACUGGCACUUACUAGCACUAUGACCUUGGGAAAGCUAUGUAACUCUGGGUCUUAUUUGUGUGAGGAAAAUAGUAGUCUCUGUCUCAAAGGAUUUUUGUGAGGGUUCAAUGAGAUGUAUGCAUACAGCAUAUAUAUGUGCUGUAUGAAUGUCAGUUAUUAUUAUUUUUCAUGGUUAUAUUUGUGGGGGUUGUGGUUUCUCUAUCAGUUUAUUCUCAUUUGCUUCCAUCUUCAAGGAUAGAAUUCCCUCCUGUUCUUUGCUGUAAUGGAUUUAUUCUUCUUAGAAAAUGUCUUUUGUGUCACUUUCAAGGGCCUUGGGGGAGGUACACAGUUGCCCCUGGUCUGCCAUCUUGAUACAGUGAUACAUUUCCUUCAAAUCUUCUUCAGUGAGCUGUAUGAGUCUUAUUAUUAUCUGUAAUACGUACACGAAGGCAUCCAUUGCCGUCUCUCUCCGCUCACCCAGGAGCCUGGCCGAGGGCAAGACUUGCCACCUGGUCUGGGAUCCUGGAUGCUGACUCUGUCUUGUGCAGGCCUGGGAGGGGAUGAGUCCUCUUCUGGGCCUUCCUCAGGCUGGUUUGAGGCUGUCCUAAUGAAUGUAAUGGGUCCUCUGCUUCCUUUGUCAAAAGGAAUGUUAAUUAUUUUCAGCAGUCUAAUUAUGUGGCUAAUGAGAGCCUGGCUGAGAUAACAUUCCCUUUAAUUACUCUUGCCUAAGUGCUGUUUGGAGCCAUAUCUGAAUGUGUUGCAAAGCUUGGUACUUUCACAGUGGAUGGAGCUGUUUGGGAGAAGCUGGUCCACAGGGACCAGGGUUGCAGGACUUAGGGCCCACAGUGGAAGCACCUGGCUGCAGUCAGUGCCCAGCCUCGGGUAUGCUGGCCUGUCCUCUGGGCUGUUACCUAAAGGGAUGAUCAGAUCAGGUCAUGUACGGAGUAGACAGCAACCAUCACAGCUCCUCCUGAACAACUCACUCAAUCUCCCCCCCUAGGGCACCUGGCCUUCAGGAUCCUCUUGGCCAAGCCUCUCACUCUUGGGGGACCUGCCCCCUGCCCUUUCUCCCAUUCAGUACUUGGAUUUUGAGUUCCUACUGUAUGUCAAGUUUUAUCCAGGACAUGAGAAUGCAAAGAUAAGGAACCCAUGGUCCAGAUGGCUUUCCAAAACCAAAAAUUUGAUCACACCCUUCUCCUCUUUGCCCAGGAGCAAUGUCACAUGUCUGUGUUCUGACCCCUACCCCCUUCCAGGGUUUAUCUUCUGUACCAUGACGUUCCUUUGGUUCUGAUGUGUUCUGAGGUGUCUUUCAGUAACUGGGCCUUCGUGGGCAGAUCCAUGGAAGGCAUCUCUCCCAAGCUCUUGGGUGGGCCUGAGUAGGCUGGAAGGGGCACGUCAUAUGAGAUUGUUUGCUGUAAGAAUGAAGGGGCAGCUGUAGGUGGGCUGUUGCCAUAGGAGAAUUAAGUGCUCUGACUCCUGUCCACACAUCCGCAUCUCUCAUGAGUGAUGGGAGGGGAAGUGCUGAUGAAAACCUCGGUCCUCCCAUUUUCCAGCUGUCAUUAAGCCUCUGAGCCUCCCUUGCCUCCUGAGUCAAUCCACGUCAUGGGUUCAUGGAGGGGACCCAUGAGACGACCUGUGUGGCACCUUCCCAGCAUGUAGAGGGUGCUCAAUAAAUGGUUUGGAGUUAAGUUUUUUUUUGUUUUUUAAACAUUCCAAGCAGCAGCCCCUACGCUGAGUUACAGCCAAACAUGCAGGGACGGGUCUCAUUCACCAAUGGCCAGGGCCCUCUCCUGGCCUCUUGGAUAAAAGUCACUCUUCAGACAGUAGAGAGUGACUCUCUUGGAACAAGGGUUCAUUCUCCCCCAUCUCACAACGGCAGCCGUGAUUGACUAGGCCUGAGCUUGUGGGAGAGAAGGAGAGCAGGGUGUCUGUGCAGAACACAAGGAUUUCCAAGAACAAGGAAGUGAAGCUCAGCCUUAGGUCUGUAUGUUUGCCAGCCUUUUGGUCACCCUUGAUAAUUCCGAGAGCAAUGUCCAGUGGAACUUUCUGUGAUGAUGGAAACGUUCUACCUCUGCACUGUCCAAUAUGGUGGACACUUGCCACAUGUAGCUCUGCGCACUUGAAAUGUGGCUCCAGUGACUAAGGAACUGGAUUUUUAAAUUCUAUUCAUUUUUAGUUAAUUAAAGUUAAAUUUUAAAUAGCUAUAUGUAGCUAUCAGACUGGUUAGUGCAGUUGUGCAGUUUUCAGAAAAUUCAUCUCUGAGUACUUCAUGUUCUUGGCUUGGGCCGCAUCUCUAGGCUACUAGUUUUCACAUGUCCUGUCUGCAGAAGAUAGUUGAGUGUGCUGUUGGCAAAGGCCAGGUGAGUCAAGGGGCAAUGACAAAAAUCAGUGACCAGAAGGGCAAUUUGGAACCUCCAGAGCUAGAGCCAUCCUGCUGAGAUUCACUGACUGUGCUGGGCAUCUGACCUUCUUAUUCCACAGUUCUGCCCCCUUACAGUCUGCAGGGGGCAAAGCCGCUGGUUUUCACAGCAGCAGAGAUGGGUAGGUGGUGCUCAGGUAUGUGAUUCUCAUGCCAGCUAGGUAUGUUCCAGAUGAUGGAAAAACUACCUGUGCUGGUCAGAAUUUUCUUGAUCACAAGUGACAGAAAAUCUAACAGACUAGCUGGAGAAAAAAGGAAUAUCUACUUUCUCGUUAAGGUGAAACACCCGGACUAGAGAGGAUUUGGUAAAGUUACUUAAAUUCUCUUGAUCAGAAGCAGGUGGAAAUUCUAGGCCAUCAGUCAAAGGAUUUUGUCUUCCCUUCAUUGUUCAAUACAAUUGCCAACAACAACUGAAGGUUUCACAAUUUCCAGCCCCUGACCACAGAAAGAGUUUUCAGUGGGCUGGCUGUAUUUACUUGGCUCCUGAGCACUUUGCCCUGACCUAGUAUACCCUGUAGGGAUCACCAGAGGACUCUGGGGACAGGGAAUGUCAGAACCCUAAUUACACAAAGCUUGUUUAGCUUGUUUCUGCCUCAGGAUCUUUGCACUUCUGUUCCCUCUGCCUGGAAUGCUUUUCCCGACACUCUUUGCAAAGCUUCUCUGCAUCUUUCUGACCUAUGCCCGAUGCUAGCUCCUUAGAGAAGUUUAAGACCUGUCCUCCAGCAUCUAGUUUCUUUCUGUCCCCUACCAGGCCUUUCCCCUUCUUCGUGGCCUGAUAUCAGACAUUACAGCAUGUGCGGGCUGGCUUCGUUAUUGUCUGUCUCCCCACAGAGCUGCGAGCAUCAAGGGGGCAGGAACCUCGCCUUGUUCACAGUGGGUGUAGUGCCUGGCCUUCAGCAGGUGCUUGGUCAAUGUUUGUUGACUGCUGGAAUACGACACCUCAGAUGAAGAAACCAGCCUCCACAGGACUUCCUGGACCCAGUCCCCUGGUUGUUUAGAAAUCUCCGGGGGUGGUUUGGCUGCAGAAGGCUGUGAAAAGUAGGGCAUUGGGUGUCACGCUGUUGACAACGUCCAGACUUGUCCUCGCCCUGGGUUUCUUUCUGCCUUCCCCGGGAAGGCGACGAAGGGGCAGGGUCUCCAUUGCUGCAAAGGGAUAAAUGGAAGCCACCGGCCCAGUAGCCAAGGAUCAGCUGAGCCCUGGGGCUAAUGCUUGCUCACACUGUUGAGAAUGGCACUGCGGCCCAGCCAGGCACCGGGACAAAGGUUAACCCGGGACACUCGUGGCCAGUGAUCCUGAUGUCUGUUCAGAGCCGCGCACUCAAGGGUGUGAUAAGCUCAUGGAUGCAUUGGGCCCUGGGCUUCAUCUCUGUGCAGUGGGAACUGGAUCUUACCUAGGCUUCCAGACUCUGCCCAGAAGCCAGGAGUGGAUCAUGUGGCUUGGGUAGGGCAUCCGGGCCACUGGAUGGGGAGGGAUUUGUGGCGUCUUGACUGCCAUGAAUGUCGUCAAGAGAAGCAAGUCCUCCACUGCUUCCAAGUGUUUCAGCCACGUCUCUUCCUCAGUCCAGAGGAGCGGCUCUAGGGCGAGGGCCCUCUGGCUGCGGAGUCUCCUCUGUCCUCGCACAGCCUUUCUUUCCAGCCUCAGCCUCUGGCUUUUCUUUGAGGACACUUUAAAAAUUGACAAUUGGGUGCUUUACCCAGAGGCUGCCCAGCCUGAAGGCUCAUCUGCCUGAACAGGGCAGUC